UACGAAGGGGGCUAGCGUUGUUCGGAAUUACUGGGCGUAAAGGGCGCGUAGGCGGUCCUGAUCGUCGGAUGUGAAAGGCCUGGGCUCAACCUGGGAAUGGCAUCCGAUACGGCGGGACUGGAGUGUGGGAGAGGUUGGUGGAAUUCCCAGUGUAGAGGUGAAAUUCGUAGAUAUCGGGAGGAACACCAGUGGCGAAGGCGGCUGCCUGGGCCAGUUCUGACGCUGAGGCGCGAAAGCGUGGGGAGCAAACAGG
rnacentral:rRNA from 1 species